UCUAAAAACCAAAUCUUCCUUUUUACUUGGUAUAAAUGCUUAAUUAAAUACAGGAGAAGCUUUACCCAAUGUAGUGGCUUCGUAUUCUAAAACUUAAAAUGAAACGAUCAUUUUAUUGCUUUCUUUAAGUUUAAACAAACAAAACGAAAAAAUACCCUUUGUUCUGUGCAGGUGCAUACGUGGUACGGUCGUGCGGUAGAAAACUUUUCUGCUUCCCCGGUCUUACCCCCUCCCACAUCCGUAACCAUUAUCAUCCACGUAAGAUAUACAGGUAAGCAUACGUAACCAGGCCAGGUAAGGGUAAUUAUAAAGAAUAAAUGCAUAUCAUAUAAUAAAUAAAAAGAAUGCCCAAAUCUAAUGCGUACAUUUUCAUAGUUCAUUAAUUAUGAAUAAUUUUCAUUUACAAUAACAAAAAAAUUAAUAAACGACUACUACACCCAAACAUUUUUUAACAUACAUUCAGAUUCAGACAAAAACAAUAUGUACUCUUCUUACCCACCACCAAAUUAUACCCAAAAAGCACUUAAAUUUUAUAUUCAAUUGUAAAUUAAAAUCAACUUCAGAUGAAAAACAAGAAAAUAUGAACAGCUCAAAAAAUUAAAAACAGAACAGAACAUAAAACCGAGAGCUUGUGUUAACUGAGUGUUAACAUUUAUACUGACAGUACACCCUGUUAGGACCAUCAUUACCAAUUCAUAUGUCACUAAUACACCUUUACUGAGCCUGAUAAUUUCAGUGUUUUGCUUAUAAUCGCAAGAAACCACUGAAGCCAAAUUGUUGCCAUUUUUUCAGUUUAUAUGAUUGCCUGACAUGUCAUUUGCCAUAUGCUACAACUGGGUUACUGGCAAAUGCAAAUUUAAUUGUGUUAUUAGAAAAUUUUGAUGAUAAACCUAUGAAUCAUAGUUAAGACCCAUUCUUGUGCCAAAUGUCAGUACAAAUGUUUUGCUAAUGAGCUAACUGAGCCAGGGUUA